rnacentral:rRNA from 1 species
UACAGAGGGUGCAAGCGUUAAUCGGAAUUACUGGGCGUAAAGCGUGCGUAGACGGUUACGUAAGUCAGAUGUGAAAGCCCCGGGCUCAACCUGGGAAUUGCAUUUGAGACUGCGUAGCUAGGGUGCGGAAGAGGGAAGCGGAAUUUCCGGUGUAGCGGUGAAAUGCGUAGAUAUCUGGAGGAACACCGGUGGCGAAGGCGGCAUCCUGGACCAAGACUGACACUGAAAAGCGAAAGCCAGGGGAGCAAACGGG